rnacentral:rRNA from 1 species
GAUGAACGCUAGCGGCAGGCCUAAUACAUGCAAGUCGAGCGGCAAGUCGAGGAGUAAUCUAAGACCUAGAGCGGCGCACGGGUGCGUAACGCGUAUGCAACCUACCUUAUACUGGGGGAUAGCCCGGAGAAAUCUGGAUUAAUACCCCAUGGCACAUAUUGAUGGCAUCUGAGAUAUGUUAAAGAUUUAUUGGUAUAAGAUGGGCAUGCGUCUGAUUAGCUAGUUGGCGGUGUAACGGACCACCAAGGCGACGAUCAGUAGGGGUUCUGAGAGGAAGGUCCCCCACACUGGCACUGAGAUACGGGCCAGACUCCUACGGGAGGCAGCAGUAGGGAAUAUUGGGCAAUGGUCGGAAGACUGACCCAGCCAUGCCGCGUGCAGGAAGACGGCCCUCUGGGUUGUAAACUGCUUUUAUCUGGGAAGAAAAAGGCCAUGCGUGGCAAAUUGCCGGUACCAGAUGAAUAAGCA